AGGAUAAACGCUGGCGGCGUGCCUAACACAUGCAAGUCGAACGCCCUUGAGCAAUCGAGGGAGUGGCGGACGGGUGAGUAACACGUGGGUACCUACCCCAAGGUGAGGAAUACCGGCGAGAAAUCGCCGACAAUACCGCAUACGUUUCGCAAGAAACAAAGCUCGCAAGAGCGCCAUGGGAAGGGCCUGCGGCCGAUUAGCUGGUUGGUGAGGUAAGAGCUUACCAAGGCGACGAUCGGUAGCUGGUCUGAGAGGACGAUCAGCCACACUGGGAUUGAGAACGGCCCAGACUCCUACGGGGGGCAGCAGUGAGGAAUUUUCGUCAAUGGGGGCAACCCUGAACGAGCAACGCCGCGUGCAGGAAGAAGGUUUUCGGAUCGUAAACUGCUUUUCUCUGGGACGAGAACGGACGGUACCAGAGGAAUCAGCCCCGGCUAACUACGUGCCAGCAGCCGC
rnacentral:rRNA from 1 species